rnacentral:rRNA from 1 species
CUAGUAUAGCAUUAUACCGUGAAACUGCGAAUGGCUCAUUAAAUCAGUUAUCGUUUAUUUGAUAGUACCUUACUACUUGGAUAACCGUGGUAAUUCUAGAGCUAAUACAUGCUAAAAACCCCAACUUCGGGAGGGGUGUAUUUAUUAGAUAAAAAACCAACGCCCUUCGGGGCUUCUUGGUGAUUCAUGAUAACUUCACGGAUCGCAUGGCCUUGCGCCGGGCGACGGUUCAUUCAAAUUUCUGCCCUAUCAACUUUCGAUGGUAAGGUAUUGGCUUACCAUGGUUUCAACGGGUAACGGGGAAUUAGGGUUCGAUUCCGGAGAGGGAGCCUGAGAAACGGCUACCACAUCCAAGGAAGGCAGCAGGCGCGCAAAUUACCCAAUCCCGACACGGGGAGGUAGUGACAAUAAAUACUGAUACAGGGCUCUUUUGGGUCUUGUAAUUGGAAUGAGUACAAUUUAAACCUCUUAACGAGGAACAAUUGGAGGGCAAGUCUGGUGCCAGCAGCCGCGGUAAUUCCAGCUCCAAUAGCGUAUAUUAAAGUUGUUGCAGUUAAAAAGCUCGUAGUUGAAACUUGGGUCUGGCUGGCAGGUCCGCCUCACCGCGUGUACUUGUCCGGCCGGGCCUUUCCUUCUGGAGAACCUCAUGCCCUUCACUGGGCGUGUUGGGGAACCAGGACUUUUACUUUGAAAAAAUUAGAGUGUUCAAAGCAGGCCUUUGCUCGAAUACGUUAGCAUGGAAUAAUAGAAUAGGACGUGCGGUCCUAUUUUGUUGGUUUCUAGGACCGCCGUAAUGAUUAAUAGGGACAGUCGGGGGCAUCAGUAUUCAAUUGUCAGAGGUGAAAUUCUUGGAUUUAUUGAAGACUAACUACUGCGAAAGCAUUUGCCAAGGAUGUUUUCAUUAAUCAGUGAACGAAAGUUAGGGGAUCGAAGACGAUCAGAUACCGUCGUAGUCUUAACCGUAAACUAUGCCGACUAGGGAUCGGGCGAUGUUCUUUUUCUGACUCGCUCGGCACCUUACGAGAAAUCAAAGUUUUUGGGUCUGGGGGAGUA